rnacentral:tRNA from 1 species
CGGGGUGUAGCGCAGCCCGGUUAGCGCACCUGCUUUGGGAGCAGGGGGUCGCUAGUUCGAAUCUGGCCGCCCCGACCA